rnacentral:rRNA from 1 species
UACGUAGGGUGCAAGCGUUGUCCGGAAUUAUUGGGCGUAAAGCGCACGUAGGCGGAUCGUUAAGUCGGGGGUGAAAUCCUGGAGCUCAACUCCAGAACUGCCUUCGAUACUGGCGAUCUCGAGUCCGGAAGAGGUGAGUGGAACUCCUAGUGUAGAGGUGAAAUUCGUAGAUAUUCGCAAGAACACCAGUGGCGAAGGCGGCUCACUGGCCCGGUACUGACGCUGAGGUGCGAAAGCGUGGGAGCAACAG